rnacentral:lncRNA from 1 species
GGAAUUGGCCUAAGUAUGUUCUGACUCCCACGCUUGAACUGCUCCGCAUCCCAUUGAUAACAAUUCUCCAAGUACUCUUUUAUCCCACAAUCGUUGUGCAGGUGCUGGAGCAGCAGUUGUGUUGGCCACUGAUGGACUUGCCACAUAAGCAGCAGCUGUCUGUGCCGAUGAGGAUAACCCUUGUUGUGCUGAUAAAGGACCAGGAUCAGCUUGCAGAGCUACUGGCUUGGCACAUGCUGCUGAUACACCAGUCUGUGGAUCUUCUUGUGCCGAUGAUAAUGGGCCUUGUUGUGCUGAUGAAGGAUUGGCACGUGUCGAUGAUUUGUUUCUCGACCAUUAAUCCGAGGUAAAGGUACGUCGUAUCACAUUAGUACUAGAUAUAUAAUAAUUUAAUAAGCAAAAGAAAAACAUGCAAACAUGCAAACAUGUUCACCAAUUUAGUUAAACCUUCAAACAAAAUAAGUGGUUUGCUUGAAAACUAAACCGUUCCAUAAGAGUAAAUCAAGAUCUUCUAGUAGCUGUUUCUACCAAAUUUACAUCUUUAUUAAGUUCUGUUUAGGCGUGAUUAAGCUUUCUUGGAACUUCAAUUUUUGCUCACUGAACACCAAUUCUUCAUGUUUCUAAACAUAUCUAACUAUUCAUCGGCUAACAAGUUGAACCGCAAAAACUAAACCCCAAGUUGAACCUCCACUCUGCAAAUAUAAACAUAAAUAAAAAAAUUCAGCUCUACAAAUUCUAAAUUUGAAGAAGAAAAACUUAACAAUUAAACUAAUACAUGAGGUUUACCCGGGGUGAGUGCAGCUUUGAGUCUAAAGAUUAAACGGAGGAGCGAAUAGACAGAAGAAUUUGAUGAGUGAGAGGCUAGGGUUUAUGGCUCUUAAAUAGGUUCAUAAUUGCACACUAAACCCAACAUUACUUAAUUUGUGCAGUAUGCUUUCAUAUAUAUUUGAAUUAUAGUCUCUUCAUGUCUCUUAUAAAUGUUAGAGCUUUUCUCUGUUGCUGAAAGUUAGAUAUUUGGGGCCAAAGGCUCAGAUAGUCCAAUCCAUUGUUUGGUACAAGGCCACACUAGACAACAUUGGACUUCAUUUUAUUAGAAAAAAAAAUUGAAAAUUUUCUUACUGUUUAUUAGAUUAUUUAAUAUGACAAAUAAUUAAUUAAAAAUGUAUCAAAUUACAAAACCAAUAUUUAUAACGGUUCGGAUCUGGUCUAAUUUUAGCCGACCCGUGGGCUGAACUGAUGAAGAGCUCGAUUCUUGAGUUGGGUCGGGUCUAGGUUAAAACCCAAAAUUGGGCCAAAUCGCAAAUGGGCCUCAGGUCUGGAGUUGGUUCUGCAUUGUGAUCGAAUUAGGCUUGAGCCCAAAUUAUAUUUUCUUACAGCCAAAAAAGCCCAAAUCAUAUUUACUUUAAGCCCAAACCCUUUUUUUGUUGUCAAAUUGCCAAAACCUAAUAAGUUCUUAUUAACAAGCCCAAAUCAGUUUUUACUCCUCUUUCAAAUCCUGAAAUUAUGCAAAUUCAACCUAUAAAAAUCCAUCAUUCCAAUCUAAGUUUCUAAAACAACUAAAUAAAUCCCACCUUCACACAAUCAACCAACCAACCAAGGAAAGAAAAUAUAAUGUCUUACAAACCAUUACAAAAAAUAACACACAAAUAAAACUAGCAAUCCAAAUUAAACUUAUGAAAUGAAAGAUUACAACUCAUCACAAAAAUACACAUGAAGAUAAUAUCCUUGCAAAAAAUCUGCUGCAUCCAUUCUUCCAAAAGCCUUAACAAAAUAAUCUACAUAACACUUAAAAGAAUUAAUACAAAGUUUCACCAUCAACAAAUCAUAAUUAAAAUAAGAUGCAAGAAAAAUACCUUCCAACAUAUCUUCAUCACACUAAGAAGGGGGAGUCUUAUUCAAAUUUGUUGUGGAUGUUUUACUCCCCAUUUCUACAAAAUAUAAUAAAAUAAAUCAAACCAAUUUGAGUUAUAACACAUAAAAAUAAGAAAAUAAUCGGAUUCAAAUAUACGUAUACAAAUAAAAAUAUUACCCAUUUCAAUUGAUUCAUAGAACUCCAUCUCCUCACUGCUUGGCAUGUGUUGCAAUGAAGAUAUAUCUUUGGACCUUAUCCAAUUUUGAGAGCAAAUCAAAGCCUCAACCAUCCUAGGAGACAAUGAGCUUCGAAACAAGUCAAUCACUCUCCCACUUGUGCUAAAACAAGACUCCGAAGCUAUUGUGGAGGUAGAGAUUGCAAGCACAUCCUUUGCAAUUGAUGCCAAAGCAGGAUACUUUAGCCCAUUUAUUCUCCACCACCCUAGUAUAUCAAACUUGUCAUCAAUGGAUUCAAGUAGAUCCAACAAGUACCUAUCCACACUACAAGAAAAACAAGUAUUAGUGGCCACCCACUUGGUCACAGAAACUACCCUUUUUGGUCACUGAAUGCAAUCAAUGUCCAAAUAUUGGUGGUCACUAGAAACUCGUCACAAAUUCUAUUUAGUGGCCAAUGUCAACUAUUGGUCACUACAACACAAAGAAUUAGUGGCUAUCCACGUCUGGUCAUUAAUGAAAACACUAUUAGGGACCAUAACUUUGGUCACUAAAGGGCUUACAAUUUGGUCAUCAAACAUGCAUUUUGGUCGCUAAAACUAGGUCACGUGCCCACAUUAGUGACCUACUUGCUUGGCCACUAAUGUAUUUCAAAAAAUUGGUAACUAAUUAGGUUUACCUCUCCAUGUUCUUUAUUUAUUGUAUUACAAUUUGAAAUCACAAUUAAUUUCUUUUAAACAGUGCUGUAGAUGAAAUUUAUAGCAUCAAAUAAUUCAUUGCAUUUAAAAGCAAUCCAUAUAUCUAUCUAACAUUCUUCCAACAAAUUCACAAGAUGUCUCAAAAACAAAAUGCUACAUAUCUAAAUGUCAAGUGAUUCCCAAAAACAAAUAACAAAAGAUUCAUCACUGGUAGAUUGUUUUCUGCCCUUUAUCCAUCAGACUUGGAUCAAACAAAGAAUAAUGUCAGUUUCAGACUUGGAUCAAACAAAGAAUAAUGUCAGUUCUUACUUGGGAUGCACUAAAUCGGGAAUUAACUAAAUGCAAGAAUAAUUAAACUCAAGGGCUAGCUAGCGCAUCUCUAAUUAUUUAGUUGCUUAAAGUUUAUCUGUCACUUGUCUGAAGUAAUUGGAAAUUAGGAACUCAUCGAUGAUGAAGUCGAGGAUAAUUGGAAAUUAGGAAAUUAGUAUAUUGUCCGGUUUGCAAAAAUUGUAUUGUAGUAAGAUGAGAGUUAAGCUAACCUCAUUGAUGAUGAAGUCGAGGAUAACUGCUCCAGCAAUCUUUUUACUAGUGCAUCUGUCUCAUUUUGCCUUGUAAAUAAACCUUCUAACUGAUACUUUGUGCAUUGGAAUUCUCGUUCAUUUCAAAUAACUCAUUUGCUAAAAGCAUACAUUAUUUCUCUGCAUCAUCUGCCCUCCUUUUAGCCUCCUCAACUGUAGCAUGAUUGCAUUGUCCAACUUUAAAUGUUUUGGGUUUCAGACCUGCUCCUAAGCCACGUAUAUAACCUGACCUAGGUGGACCAACAACUUUAGAAAGAACUGAGUCAUAUAUUUCAUCAUUAGACAUCAAUUCAACAGAUUCCUCAUCUAUUUCUGGCAGGUUCUUCAGCUUCUUCAUCUCAUCCUACACAGAAUAUAUACAUCAUGUUUAUGUACAAUAAGCUCAAAGGAUCUGAAAAAGCUCCAAAGCAAUAAAGACUUGCAAAAGCAUUCUUGUCGCCUUCGCCAACCUAUGUUGUUUUCUUUGUGCUAAAUCAAGUGAGCUGAAACAAGUCAAUAUGGCUAGGUUCUUCUCCAGUUUCAGAAUUUCUCUAUUUCAUAUAGUCAUAGACCACCAUCAUGUUAUUUACAAGUUUCAUAAAUUAUAACUUCAAAAAAUUUCAAUGUAAGAAGAUUGUAAGG